rnacentral:rRNA from 1 species
UGACCGCUGGCGGUGUGCCUACUACAUGCACGUCGAGCGAACAGAUGAGGAGCUUGCUCCUCUGACGUUAGCGGCGGACGGGUGAGUAACACGUGGAUAACCUACCUAUAAGACUGGGAUAACUUCGGGAAACCGGAGCUAAUACCGGAUAAUAUAUUGAACCGCAUGGUUCAAUAGUGAAAGACGGUUUUGCUGUCACUUAUAGAUGGAUCCGCGCCGCAUUAGCUAGUUGGUAAGGUAACGGCUUACCAAGGCGACGAUGCGUAGCCGACCUGAGAGGGUGAUCGGCCACACUGGAACUGAGACACGGUCCAGACUCCUACGGGAGGCAGCAGUAGGGAAUCUUCCGCAAUGGGCGAAAGCCUGACGGAGCAACGCCGCGUGAGUGAUGAAGGUCUUCGGAUCGUAAAACUCUGUUAUUAGGGAAGAACAAAUGUGUAAGUAACUAUGCACGUCUUGACGGUACCUAAUCAGAAAGCCACGGCUAACUACGUG